rnacentral:rRNA from 1 species
UGCUUACACAUGCAAGUCGAACGGGCUCUUCGGAGCUAGUGGCGGACGGGUGAGUAACGCGUGAGAAUCUGCCUUCAGGAGGGGGAUAACGACUGGAAACGGUCGCUAAUACCCCAUAUGCCUCCGGGUGAAAAGUAAUUCGCCUGAAGAUGAGCUCGCGUCAGAUUAGCUAGUUGGUGGGGUAAGAGCCUACCAAGGCGACGAUCUGUAGCUGGUCUGAGAGGAUGAUCAGCCACACUGGGACUGAGACACGGCCCAGACUCCUACGGGAGGCAGCAGUGGGGAAUUUUCCGCAAUGGGCGCAAGCCUGACGGAGCAAGACCGCGUGGGGGAUGACGGCCUAAUGGUUGUAAACCCCUUUUCUCUGGGAAGAAGACUGACGGUACCAGAGGAAUCAGCCUCGGCUAACUCCGUGCCAGCAGCCGCGGUAAUACGGAGGAGGCAAGCGUUAUCCGGAAUUAUUGGGCGUAAAGCGUCCGUAGGUGGUUAUUCAAGUCUGCUGUCAAAGCGUGGGGCUUAACUCCAUAGAGGCAGUGGAAACUGAGUGACUAGAGUGCGGUAGGGGUCGAGGGAAUUCCCAGUGUAGCGGUGAAAUGCGUAGAUAUUGGGAAGAACACCAGUGGCGAAAGCGCUCGACUGGGCCUGCACUGACACUGAGGGACGAAAGCUAGGGGAGCGAAAGGGAUUAGAUACCCCUGUAGUCCUAGCUGUAAACGAUGGAUACUAGGUGUUGCUCGUCAUCGACCCGAGCAGUGCCGUAGCCAACGCGUUAAGUAUCCCGCCUGGGGAGUACGCUCG